rnacentral:rRNA from 1 species
AUUGAACGCUGGCGGAAUGCUUUACACAUGCAAGUCGAGCGGCAGCGCGGGGCAACCCCUUGAGAGUGGCGAACGGGUGAGUAAUGCAUCGGAACGUGCCCAGUCGUGGGGGAUAACGCAGCGAAAGCUGUGCUAAUACCGCAUACGAUCUCUGGAUGAAAGCGGGGGACCGAAAGGCCUCGCGCGAUUGGAGCGGCCGAUGUCAGAUUAGGUAGUUGGUGGGGUAAAGGCUCACCAAGCCAACGAUCUGUAGCUGGUCUGAGAGGACGACCAGCCACACUGGGACUGAGACACGGCCCAGACUCCUACGGGAGGCAGCAGUGGGGAAUUUUGGACAAUGGGCGCAAGCCUGAUCCAGCAAUGCCGCGUGCAGGAAGAAGGCCUUCGGGUUGUAAACUGCUUUUGUACGGAACGAAAAGGUCUGGGUUAAUACCCUGGGCACAUGACGGUACCGUAAGAAUAAGCACCGGCUAACUACGUGCCAGCCGCCGCAGUAA